GAUGAACGCUGGCGGCGUGCCUAAUACAUGCAAGUCGAGCGAACGGACGAGAAGCUUGCUUCUCUGAUGUUAGCGGCGGACGGGUGAGUAACACGUGGAUAACCCUCCUAUAAGACUGGGAUAACUUCGGGAAACCGGAGCUAAUACCGGAUAAUAUUUUGAACCGCAUGGCUCAAAAGUGAAAGACGGUCUUGCUGUCACUUAUAGAUGGAUCCGCGCUGCAUUAGCUAGUUGGUAAGGUAACGGCUUACCAAGGCAACGAUGCAUAGCCGACCUGAGAGGGUGAUCGGCCACACUGGAACUGAGACACGGUCCAGACUCCUACGGGAGGCAGCAGUAGGGAAUCUUCCGCAAUGGGCGAAAGCCUGACGGAGCAACGCCGCGUGAGUGAUGAAGGUCUUCGGAUCGUAAAACUCUGUUAUUAGGGAAGAACAUAUGUGUAAGUAACUGUGCACAUCUUGACGGUACCUAAUCAGAAAGCCACGGCUAACUACGUG
rnacentral:rRNA from 1 species